UACGUCGGGUGCAAGCGUUGUCCGGAAUUAUUGGGCGUAAAGAGCUCGUAGGCGGUCUGUCGCGUCGGAUGUGAAAACCCAGGGCUCAACCCUGGGCCUGCAUUCGAUACGGGCAGACUAGAGUUCGGUAGGGGAGACUGGAAUUCCUGGUGUAGCGGUGAAAUGCGCAGAUAUCAGGAGGAACACCGGUGGCGAAGGCGGGUCUCUGGGCCGAAACUGACGCUGAGGAGCGAAAGCGUGGGGAGCAAACAGG
rnacentral:rRNA from 1 species